rnacentral:lncRNA from 1 species
GGUCUCAUCUACAUGUAUAUUUAAUCAAUUCAUUCAUGUCAUUGUAUAACUUCACUUCCAAUUACAUCUUGAACUACAAGUGUGUAUAAUUCUGAAAAUUUAAAUUCCAUUAAUUAUUAUAAAUAUAAGCCCUGAACCGGAUUAUUUUUUUCAAAUAAAAGUAGAGGCUCUAAGCUCUAAGGCAGUAAUCAUUUUGAUUUUCGGGGGGGGGGGAUAUAUUAAACUUGGAAUUAAUUCUACUAUCAAAUAUCAUCUAGAGGCUCUCAAGAGCCUGUGUCGCUCACCUGUCUUAACUGUUGUUUUGAAAAUCACAGUUAAUAGUAUUGCAUACCCUUUUAAUGAUUGAAGCAAAGUUUGAUUAAAUUUGGCCCAGUAGUUUCAACUAAAAGCUGGUCCAUUGUAGUCUUUAAUUUAGUAACCUGAAGACCCCC